AUGGCCCCUCCUCAGGUGGCAACUAUUGUGGCUACUAGUCAAGGAGGCUCAGCCUCUGGAGUGGGUCAAGGACCUGCUCAAGCUGACCUCUAACUCCCCUGCCACCCCUGGGGCCGCCUGAGCCCUGGUCUUCCCGCUCCUCCCAUCUCCCAUGGGAAUCUCCCCAUGCGCCUACUCCCCCGGCAGACCCGGCGGACUUUGAUUACCUGGGGCCCUCUGCUUCCUGGCAGAUGUCAGCCCCACCCCAGUAAUCGACUGAAAAUGUGGUGCCAUACCUGGACACGGAUUCAGCUGGAGAGCUGCUCCUGGGGUCAGAGCAGUUCUCCGCUGCACACCAGGAUUUAAAUGACAAGCUGACUCUGCAAGAAAGGCUCCCAGAGGUGGUUCCAAUGCUGAACGGGGAUCAGAACCAGACCCUAGUUCAGCCUCCUCGCCUCAAAAGUAAGUUUCAAACUGCAGAUCUUGAUCGGGCUGCAAGUCAUCAGGCAGAUGAAAUACUUGUUCCACUAGACAGUAAGGUUUCAAAACCAACCAAAUUUAUUGUUUCGCCCAAGAACCUAAAGAAAGAUCUAGCUCAGUGUUGGAGUCUUGCUAAGAUUGUUGGAAUUCCACACCAAUUAUCCAAACUUCAGCAUCAGAAAUAGACUUUGCAGGCUGAAUAUUGGAGUAUAGACACACUGUAUCCCGGCAGCUGCCUCCAGAACUCCGGGUUAACCUGGAUGAGCCCCCAGGGCUCCCUGAGCAAGUUGGACUUUCUCAAUUCCAUCUAGAGUCUGAAACUCAAAAUCCAGAGACCCUUGAAGACAUCCAGUCCUCUUCACUCCAGCAAGAAGCCCCAGGGCAGCUUCCACAGCUCCCUGAGGAGGAAGAACCUUCUUCAACCCAGCAGGGGGCCCCAGCUGGGCCUCCAGAGUACUCAAAGAGUCAAGCUCAAACUCUACCGAAUCAUGAGGUGACAGUUCAACCUCCAGGUGAGGAUCAAGCUCAUUAUAAUUUGCCCAACAUUACAGUUAAACCUGCAGAUGUGAGGUUACCAUAACUUCAGAACCUACCAAUGAGACAGAAUCUUCCCAAGCCCAGCUGGAGGCCCCAAUUCAGCUUCCAGAGGAGGUGGAACAUUCUGCGACCCAACAGGAGGCCCCAACUGAGCCUCCAGGUCCUCCUAUGGAGCGUGAACUUUCCAUCAGUGAGCAAGAGCAGCCAGCUCAGCCUUCUGAGUCUUCUGGGGAGGUGGAAUCUUCUCAGACCCAGCAGGAGACCUCAGCUUAGCCUCCAGAAGAGAUGGAACCUUCUGCAAACCAAGAGGAAGCCCCAACUGAGCCUCCAGGUCCUCCUAUAGAGCCUGAACUUUCCCCCAGUGAGCAGGACCAGCCAGCUCAGCCUUCUGAGUCUUCUGGGGGGUUGAAUCUUCUCAGACCCAGCAGGAGACCCCAGCUCAGCCUCCAGAACAUCAUGAAGUCACAGUUUCAACUCCAGGUCACCAUCAAACACAGCAUUCAGAUUUUCCCAAUGUCUCUGUUAAGCCUCCAGACAUGCAGCUCACCAUAGGAACAGAGCCUAGUGCAGAGGUGGGAACUUCUGCAGUCCACCAGGAGGCUACAGCUCAGCUCUCAGGGCCAGGUAAUGAUGUAGAACCUCCUGCUAUCCCGCAUGGGGGCCCACCUCUGCCUCCAGAGUCAUUGGAAGAGGCUUUACCUUUAGCAAUUCAACAAAAGACUUCAGUUCAAUUUCCGGAACCUAUUAAUAAUGCAAAUCCCUCUCCAACCCAGCAGGAGGCUGCAGCUGAGCAUCCACAGACCGCUGAGGAGGGGUCCAGCUCAGACUCCAGAGCUCCCUAAUGUAGUUGUAGCCCAACCUCCAGAGCAUUCAAACCUGACUCAAGCCACAGUUCAACCUUUGGACCUGGGGCUUACCAUCACUCCAGAAUCCACAACAGAGGUUGAACUUUCUCCUACCAUGCAGGAGACCCCAACUCAGCCUCCUAAAAAAGUUGUACCCCAACUUCCAGUAUAUCAAGAGGUAACAAUUCCAACACCAGGUCAGGAUCAAGCUCAGCAUCCAAUGUCACCCAGCGUUACAGUUCAACCUUUGGACCUGGGACUUACCAUCACUCCAGAACCCACUACGGAGGUUGGACAUUCUACACCCCUGAAGAAGACUCUAGUUCCUCCCAAGCACCCUAAGGUGACACUUCCAUGUCCAGACCAGGUUCAGACUCAGCAUUCAAACCUGACUCAAGCCACAGUUCAACCUUUGGAUCUGGGGCUUACCAUCACUCCAGAAUCCACGACAGAGUUUGAACCUUCUACAGCCCUGACGACUACAGCUCCUCCUCCAGAACACCCUGAGGCGACACUUCCACCUUCAGACAAGGGUCAGGCUCAGCAUUCACACCUGACUUAAGUCACAGUUCCACCUCUGGACCUGGAGCUUACCAUAACUACAGAACCUACUGCAGAGGUUAAACUGCCUCCAACCAUGGAGAAGACCUCAACUCAGCCUCCAGACCUGGGGCUUGCCAUCACUCCAGAGCCCACUACAGAGAUUGGACAUUCUGUAGCCCUGGAGAAGACUACAGUUCCUCGUCCAGACCAGGUUCAGACUCUGCAUCGAAAACUGACUGAAGUCACAGGUCCACCUACUGAACUAGAACCUACUCAGGAUUCAUUGGUUCAGUCUGAAUGUUAUGCCCAAAAUAAGGCUGUAACUGCACCAGAGGAACAGAAGGCCUCCACAAGCACCAACAUAUGUGAGCUCUGUACCUGUGGAAUGAGACGCUGUCGUGUAUUGAUCUCAGCCUGAAACAGAGGCUCCGCCAAAUGCCUGUGCCAGAGCCCAACACCUACAAUGGCACCCUCAGCAUCUUAAAUUUCCAAGGAAACUAUAUUUCUUACAUUGAUGGAAAUGUAUGGAAAGCAUACAGUUGGACUGAGAAACUAAUUCUCAACGAAAAUUAUUUGACUGAAUUGCAUAAGGAUUCAUUGAAGGCCUGCUAUCCCUCCAGUAUUUAGAUUUAUCCUGCAAUAAAAUACAGUCUAUCGAAAGACAUACAUUUGAACCACUACUAUUUUUGCAGUUUAUAAAUCUUGGUUGCAAUUUACUUACAGAACUGAGCUUUGGAACAUUUCAGGCCUGGCACGGAAUGCAGUUUUUACACAAGUUAAUUCUCAAUCGCAAUCCUCUGACAACUGUUGAAGAUCCAUAUCUCUUUAAACUGCCAGCAUUAAAAUAUCUAGACAUGGAAACAAUGCAUGUCCCAUUUACAACAAUUAAGAACAUUCUCAUGAUGACUGUUGAACUGGAGAAACUGAUCUUACCUAGCCAUGUGGUCUGCUGCCUCUGCCAAUUUAAAAAUAGCAUUGAGGCUGUCUGCAAGACAGUCAAGCUGCACUGCAACAGUGCAUGUCUGACAAACACCAUACAUUGUCCUGAAGAAGCAUCUGUAGGGAAUCCAGAAGGAGCACUCAUGAAGGUGUGACAAGCCCCGAAGAAGCACACGAGCACUGAGCUGACUGUUGAGCCGGAGGGGGCCUCAGACAGCAAUGGCAUCAACUUGUCAGUCUUUGGGAGUGGACAGCUAGACACCAAUGACGAGAGGGAUGUUAUCAGUGCACUAAGUUACAUCUUGCCAUAUUUCUGAGCAGUAAGUCUAGAUGUGAAAUCAAUGUUGUUACCGUUCAUUAAACUGCUUUCUUCAAAUGUGCAAGAUGGAGAUAGGCCCCUGGGUAUUUUGAAAAACAAUACAAAGAGCCCCUCUCUUCAACCUGUAUCCAACAACUCAACUUAAGAAAAUAAAUUGAGAAAGCUGUAUUUGCUGGAAAAUAUGUUAGAUGCAGAAAUACAAGAAAAAAUUGAUGAAAUUAAAAGGGAAGAAAAAACUGCCAUGCUUAUGCAGUCCAGCUUUCUAGGACAAUUUUAAAUGCCAAAUAUUUGAAAAGAAAUUAGAAACUAUCCAGCUACAGGAAAACAGCCUGGCAAAGAUUCAAAGCAUAGGCAAAAACCUGCAGAGAGUGAACAGACUCCUUAUGGGCCCAAAGAGCAUUCAGAAAAGGCACUUCGAAGAGGUGGGAAAGCAGAGCAUCAAGAGGGAAGAUGGACCCAGCCAUUUGCAGAGAACAAUGCCAAAGAAAAAAGGCUCGGGAGUCCAACCCAAGGGAGCUGACAGAGCCUCACAUAGAGCAGGGGUCUGAGAAGUUAGUGGGAAACACCGUCUACACCAAGCCUUCAUUCACCCAAGAGCAGUCUCCUUUAUGUUGAAACUGUUCUCCAUGGGCGGGCCUUCUGCCUCCACCUCUGCAAAAGCCCUACCUCAGGUCAGAGACAGAUUGAAAGACUUAAUCUACACCAUUUUCAUUUUAGAACAUGCAAAGGCUAGAGUUAAAAAUAUGAAGACUGCUAAACCAAUCGUACAUUCCAGAAAAAAAUACCACUUUCAUAAAACUCACUCCCGCAUGGCUCACAGAACACCCAAGGCCAAAAAAGAGUCCAAACUUCAGAAAGAAAAGUUAUCUCGAUAGACUGGUGCUCGCAAAGAGGCCUCCGUUCUCUGCAGCGAAGAGCCUAUGCAUUUCCCUUCACAGGGGGCUUUUCAUCUUUAGGAGACCCGAGCCCUCAGGAAAAUCCUCUUCCGGAAGUAUUUCCUCCUUCAGAACGUUUUAUAGAAGACACUAAUGUAAAAAACACAACUGCCAGAAAUGCCUUUGAAGAAAACAUUUUUAUGGAAAACACUACUAUGCCAGAAGGCACCAUCUCUGAAAACACAAACUAUAAUCAUCCUCCUGAGGCAGAUUCUGCUGGGACUGCAUUCAACUUAGGGCCAACUAUUACACAAACUGAGACAAAAUGGGAAUACAACAACGUGGGCACCGACCUGUCCCCCGAGCCCCAAAGCUUCAAUUACUCAUUGCUCUUAUCUCCAGGUGAUCAGUUUGAAAUUCAGCUAACCCAGCAGCUGCGGUCCCUCAUCCCCAACAACAAUGUGCGCAGGCUCAUUUCUCAUGUUAUCCGGACCUUGAAGAUGGACUGCUCUGAGACCCACGUGCAAUUGACCUGUGCCAAGCUCAUCUCCAGGACAGGCCUCCUGAUGAAGCUUCUCAGUGAGCAGCAAGAAGUAAAGGUGUCCAAGGCAGAAUGGAUACGGACCAGUGGAAAACUGAGAACUAUAUCAACGAGAGCACGGAAGCCCAGAAUGAACAGAAAGAGCAAAAGUCGAGUGAGCUCACAAUAGAAGUUCCAGGAUAUGGCUAUAACAACAAACUCAUCUUGGCAAUAUUUGUGACUGAAAUACUAACGACUUUCAUUCUAGUUUUCUGCCUUAUUGAGAUUUAUUCUCACCGAAGGUCAUCAAAAGAAGAUGAAGGAUUCUCAAGGGGCAUUUUCAGAUUUCUGCCAUAGAGGAGAUGCUCUUCGCGAAGUGAGACUCAGGUUGGAUCUUUCUCACUCAGACAGCCGCUCUGGCUUAAAGAUAUGUACAAACCUCUCAAUGCCACAAGAGUAAAUACCAGGCAUGGAAGCUGCACAAGAAGUCAUCUAAUGAGGAUGAGAUCCUCAACAGGAACCCUGGGGACAGCGAAGCCCCAACAUAGAAGGGGGAGGAGAGUGAAGCCCUGCCAUAGGAGGAGAACACAGAGUGACCCCAGCCCGCCUCAGGCCUCCUGCAAAAAUACUUAGCAUAAACAACAAGGGCCAUCAGAAAGAAAAGCGGGACUGAAGCCAGCGGCCUAUGUGUCCACAGAGGCAGCGGGCAGAGGAAGCACAGAGCCAUCAUUCCCUCCCUUGAUUCUCAGUCUAGUCACCCAGACCUGAAAACAUAUCCUCAGGGGGUGGAGAUUUUACAAUACCAUUGUUCUUG